rnacentral:lncRNA from 1 species
UGACAUUUCCCAGAAUGCCGUGCUGCUGGGAUUCUGGCUGCAAUUUAAAUUUUGCCACAAGAUGCAGCCCUGUGCGAUCUGGAAGGUGGCAGGAAGGCAGAGGCUGUUCCCUCAGCAGUGGUGAUGGAGGGUGAGGCAGCUUCGGCCAAUGUGAGGAUUUGCAGGGACUGGCAUCUCUGUGGUUUUGUCACCAGCCUUUUGGGUGUGGGGAAGCUGUGGCAGUAUUGGUGGUCCUAGCAGUGGCAGCAACUGUCUCCUGGUCUCAGGCUCACAGCUGAGUGGAUGUGACUUAAGCCAAAAGCCUAGCAGUGGUCCCUGACUUCCCUUUAUCUCGUCCCUCUGCUGACUUGGUAAGUCCCUAUCUUCCUUACUAGGUCCCUUUCUGGUUAAGAUAGCCCAGGUGUUUCUGCUUUCCACGUGCAAUGCUGAUUGACACGUGGGAGGUGGCUGGGAGGAGAGCUGAGCUUGGGUCUGAUUCAGAAGCCAAGGUGGAUGCUGAGCCUGGUGACUGUGACUAGGAUGUGAUGUGACAAAGAACUGCAAAAGCUGCAGGUGUUUGGAGAGCCGGAGUCAGAGGCUCCCUGGGUGGCCAGGAGGGACUGCCAAGUGGUCCUCAGUGACCCAGUUGAUGUGGAUGCUGAAGGAGAGAUGGUGGAAAUCCCAGCAGACCCUUUCAAAGACACCCUAGUGCCCCUGUUCAGAGACCAAGGGCUCCUCCAUCCUGCAGAGAGUUGAGGGGAAUGGAAAAGCAGCUCUAGGCACAGCUUACCCUGAGCGGGGUGCCGAGCUGCGUCAGGCUCCGGAGACAAUUCUGGUACAUCCAGCAGAGGAUGGAAAGACUGAUGGGCGGCCCCUUUCAAGAAGGCUGGCUGGGAAACCGCACGGACUGUCAAGAACAUUUCCUGGGGAACCUUCCCAGGCUGCCUUGGCCCCCCAGGAUUCAUCUCCACAAUCUCACUGCCUCCUGGAAGCUCAGACGCAGGUCAGCCUGGAGGGAGGAGGCGCUGUGGCAACUCGGGUGGCUCAGAGGACACCAGACCCCACACCUGAGACGGAAGGUGAAGGCCUCCUGUUCUCCUCGUGCACGGAGCCGCCAUCACUGGGCAUGUCCAGCUGGACCCAGGGAGGGAGGAAAGCAGUGCUACAGAAGCAGAGAAGAGGGACGACCUCACAGAGGCCCACUGGCUGCUCACAACAGGUGCACGUGCAAGACGACUUCACGGAGACGUGGAGCAGGUCAGCAGCCAAAGUCCUCAGCCAGGAGGUAGCUCGGCUGCGUUUUCAACCCAGGUGUUCUGUGUCUGAGACUUUGUUCAUCCCUUCACCUGCUCUGGCCAGGAAGGGCUCCUUAUCGGACAGGGAGCAGGGGAGGGGAAAGGCUUCAAAAAGAGGCAUCCUUAGACGUUCUCAGCUCAGAGGCAGAGGCCCCAAGAAGCUCAGUUAUGAAGCGCCUCGCACCGACCCAGGGCUGUGGAAAGGGCUCCUGCUGCCUCCCCGGGUCGUUGAGAUGUGCAGCUGCUCUCACGGCUGCCGCCCAAUCCCCCGAGUGAUGCCGGCACAGGCAGAUAGCCUCCGACAUCUGCACUGUCCGGUGACAGACCCAGAGGCACAUGGCCUGUCCCGGUAGAGACACAGCACCAGUGGGGCCCGGGAAUCCACCUGCUGCCUAGGCUCCCUUCAGCUGAAAGCUGCACAGAAAAAUGGAAAGUGGGGGCACCUCGUGCUGGAGAAGUUGCCAGGAGGCCGUUGGGUCAGCAGGUCUGCACUGCUGCGCUCCGCCCCCACCUCCCGCCUCAAAGGAGCUGCUACCCGGAGCUACCUUCCUGGGAGAAGGAAUCAUCCACACACAAGAGGGAUGAGCCUUGAUUUCCAACUGACAGGACUUCAUCAGCUCACAGAAAACCACCCAACGGCUCCGGCAAUCUGUCUUGCCGGGAUAUUCCUGAUCUAUUACAAACGACACAGAAAUCCAUUCCUAAAAAUUCCCAGCAGCUGACGAUGGUGCCAAGGCUGCUGGGAGAAAAGUGGUGAGUGGGCGGUGUAGCUGUGGGCAGCUCCCGGCUGGACGCCCUGGGUCCUGUGCAGCUGACAAGCCUGUCCCUCAUGGGCUGUGUGCCUGGGGCAACUUGCCUUCCCUGAG